GAUGAACGCUAGCGGCAGGCUUAAUACAUGCAAGUCGUGGGGCAGCAGGGUUGUAGCAAUACAAUCGCUGGCGACCGGCAAACGGGUGCGUAACACGUACGCAACCUUCCCGUUACUGUGGCAUAGCCCAGGGAAACUUGGAUUCAUACCACAUAUUAUAUAGAGGGGGCAUUUCCUUUAUAUCAAAGCUUCGGCGGUAACGGAUGGGCGUGCGGUUGAUUAGGUAGUUGGCGGGGUAACGGCCCACCAAGCCUACGCUCAAUAGCUGAUGUGAGAGCAUGCUCAGCCACACGGGGACUGAGACACGGGCACGACUCCUACGUGAGGCAGCAGUAAGGAAUAUUGGGCGAUGGACGAAAGUCUGACCCAGCCAUGCCGCGUGAAGGAUUAAGGUCCUCUGGAUUGUAAACUUCUUUUCUCUGGGGCGAAAAACAGCUAUUCUUAGUUGCUUGACAGUACCAGCGGAAUAAGCACCGGCUAACUCCGUGCCAGCAGCCGCGGUAACAC
rnacentral:rRNA from 1 species